CCUACGGGUGGCAGCAGUGGGGAAUAUUGCGCAAUGGGCGAAAGCCUGACGCAGUGACGCCGCGUGAGGGAUGAAGGUCUUCGGAUCGUAAACCUCUGUCAGCAGGGAAGAACGGUCACUGUGCUAAUCAGCAGUGAAUUGACGGUACCUGCAAAGGAAGCACCGGCUAACUCCGUGCCAGCAGCCGCGGUAAUACGGAGGGUGCGAGCGUUAAUCGGAAUUACUGGGCGUAAAGCGCUCGUAGGCGGUAUGUCAAGUCAAGGGGGAAAUCCCCGCGCUCAACGUGGGAACUGCCUUUGAAACUGGCAAACUGGAGUGUGUGAGGGGAUAGUGGAAUUCCAGGUGUAGGAGUGAAAUCCGUAGAUAUCUGGAGGAACAUCAGUGGCGAAGGCGACUAUCUGGCACAUAACUGACGCUGAGGAGCGAAAGCGUGGGUAGCAAACAGGAUUAGAUACCCCAGUAGUC
rnacentral:rRNA from 1 species